CGUGUGCGGUCCCUCCCCCUCACGUUCUCUCUUCCUCUGCUCCGCCAUGAUGAGAAGCGCCUGCUUCCCCUUCCCCUUCCGCCAUGAUUGUGUUUCCUGAGACCUCCCAGCCACGCUUCCUGUACAGCCUGCAGAACUCUGCAAGACCUUCCUCCAAGGAACCUGCUGCCAACUCGCCUGGCACAGACAUCCUGACAUGACACCACUGCUCAUUCCCCACUGGCACAGGACCGGCCAUCUCCUCCAAGCCUGAGCUGCCUGUACAGCAUCCCAAGCUCUGGGCGCACCUGGGGCAGCCGUGGCAGGAACGCCGUGGGAUCUGCUGAGUCCUACGAGGCUGCAGUGGGACCGAGUGGGAACCAUGGCCCAUGCAGAACUGCUUCUCCCUUGAAGAAGAAACACAGGCUAUUGGCUCAGCUGUAAAAGGCAAACACAGGCUAUUGGCUCAGCUGUAAAAGGAGAUCACGGCAUCCGCUUGGAUGGGGAGUUGGUGCCAGCUUUCCUGCUACAAGAAAAUUCAAUCCCAACUGCUACCCAGACCCGCUGUGUCUGCACCACAGCAGUGGGGACCGAGGGCAUGCCUGCCAUGCCAAUCCCGCAGAGGACUUUGCUGCAGCGAGACAGCCCCUUUCUCCCUCCAUGAUAGAGUUUAGAAGCCUCCUCCUCUUGCUGCCACCGUGGGUAUUUAGGUGAGCAGCUGUAGUUGCCGGGGAGGCCUGAGCACAACACUUAACGCUGCUCCUGCAGUUUCAUGGGCCAUUAACAAUUUGCUAAUAUUGUUUUAGCUUGCAAAUUAGUGCAGCUCCGUGGGUAAGGAAAGGCUCUGUGGCUGUCAUCAAUCAGAUGGAAAUUCUCCAUGCAUGAGAUGAAAAACGAUUUCUAGCCUUUGAGGCUCAGACGGCAAUUACUGUAACCAAAAAAAAUGGGUGGUGGGGAGCCGGGGGGAAGAGAGCUCCUUGCAAAGUCUGUUAGCAAUUCUAUGAACUUUAUUUCUUGAUGCACGAGAGUGAAACUAUGAGGAUUUCCAGCCAAGGGAACUUGAUUUUCUUAGUUACUAAUAAAGUGACAAUCUAAAGGAGCCCUCUCCAACUGACCUGCUCCCAGAAGGUGGGGAGAGAGGAUGUCCGUGUGGCAAGAAGGAUGACAAAGCUGUGAGGACCUGGUGACUGUCUUUGCUGAGCUCCCAACUGGUGACGCUCACCAGGAGGAUGCCACAGAUGGCUCUGCCAAAAGUGCAGACAAACCUUGGCCUUGUUUGUUGGAAACCAUGUUGCUUAUCCCCCAUCCCUCCCACCUUUAAGCACCAACAUUUUUUCCUUUUAAAUAUUGAUACGAGACUGGGCUGGGCAUGGUGGCUCAUGCCUGUAGUUCUAAUGCUUUGGAAAUCUGAGGCAGGAGAAUCACUUGAUCUCCAGUUCUAGACCAGCCUGGGCAGUAUAGUGAGAACCCCAUCUCUACAAAAACAUUUCAAAAAUUAGCUGGGUGUGGUAGUAUGCACUGUGGUCCCAGCUGCUUGGGAGGCUGAGGCAGGAGGAUCACUUGAGCCCAGGAGAUCAAGGCUGCUGUGAGCCAUGAACGCCCCUCUGCACUCCAGCCUGGGCAACAGAGUGAGACCCUGUCUCUUAAAAUAAAAGUGAGACUGUUAUG
rnacentral:lncRNA from 1 species